ACCCAGAUCAUGGCAAGGCCGGGGUCUUCUUGGAUGCCAUUUCCAGAUGAUGUAGCUGGCUCUACCCACAAGUUCAAUCCGCCAUGGUUGUUCAUCUUUCUGCUUAACUCUCCUCCUGAUCUACACUUAAUCUACUUGUUUAAUCCUAGGUUCCAGAUAUGUUUGACAAAUUUCUCUUAACUAGUCUGGAUUUAUAUCCAGUGAUUGCCCCGCCUUGCCCCCAUGGA
rnacentral:misc_RNA from 1 species